rnacentral:rRNA from 1 species
AUCACAUACGCGUGUGUGGAAAGCUGGGGUUGAAGCACUUUCAGUGGGGAAGAAAUGACGUUACCCACAGAAGAAGCACCGGCUAACUCCNGUGCCAGCAGCCGCGGUAAUAACGAAGGGGNNGGCUAGCNGNUAUGGUUCGGAAUUACUGGGCGUAAAGCGCACGUAGGCGGCCUUUUAAGUCAGAUGUGAAAUCCCCGGGCUUAACCUGGGAACUGCACCUGAUACUGGGAGGCUAGAAUGUGGGAGAGGAGAGUGGAAUUUCCCGGUGU